UACGUAGGGUGCAAGCGUUGUCCGGAAUUACUGGGCGUAAAGCGCACGUAGGCGGCUUUGUAAGUUAGAGGUGAAAGCCCGGAGCUCAACUCCGGAACUGCCUUUAAGACUGCAUCGCUUGAAUCCAGGAGAGGUGAGUGGAAUUCCGAGUGUAGAGGUGAAAUUCGUAGAUAUUCGGAAGAACACCAGUGGCGAAGGCGGCUCACUGGACUGGUAUUGACGCUGAGGUGCGAAAGCGUGGGGAGCAAACAGG
rnacentral:rRNA from 1 species